UGGGGAAUAUUGCGCAAUGGGCGAAAGCCUGACGCAGCGACGCCGCGUGAGGGAUGAAGGUUUUCGGAUCGUGAACCUCUGUCAGAAGGGAAGAAACUACAUUGUGCUAAUCAGCAGUGUACUGACGGUACCUUCAAAGGAAGCACCGGCUAACUCCGUGCCAGCAGCCGCGGUAAUACGGAGGGUGCAAGCGUUAAUCGGAAUUACUGGGCGUAAAGCGCACGUAGGCUGUAGUGUAAGUCAGGGGUGAAAUCCCACGGCUCAACCGUGGAACUGCCUUUGAUACUGCACAACUUGAAUCCGGGAGAGGGUGGCGGAAUUCCAGGUGUAGGAGUGAAAUCCGUAGAUAUCUGGAGGAACAUCAGUGGCGAAGGCGGCCACCUGGACCGGUAUUGACGCCGAGGUGCGAAAGCGUGGGGAGCAAACAG
rnacentral:rRNA from 1 species